AACAAACGCUGGCGGCGUGCCUAAUACAUGCAAGUCGAACGGGGAAAGCUUUCGGGUGAGUACUAGUGGCGCACGGGUGAGUAACGCGUGGAUAAUCUGCCUUAGAGUGGGGGAUAACUAGUCGAAAGAUUAGCUAAUACCGCAUAAGACCACAAGAACUGCGGUUCAAGAGGUCAAAGGUUUUUCGCUCUAAGAUGAGUCCGCGUAAGAUUAGCUAGUUGGUAAGGUAACGGCUCACCAAGGCAACGAUCUUUAACUGGUCUGAGAGGAUGAUCAGUCACACUGGAACUGAGACACGGUCCAGACUCCUACGGGAGGCAGCAGUAGGGAAUAUCGCACAAUGGAGGAAACUCUGAUGCAGCGACGCCGCGUGAGUGAUGAAGGCCUUCGGGUCGUAAAGCUCUGUCGCAGGGGAAUAACACAAUGAAUGUACCCUGUAAGAAAGGAUCGGCUAACUUCGUGCCAGCCGCCGCCGUAAUAC
rnacentral:rRNA from 1 species